rnacentral:rRNA from 1 species
CCUCGGGCGCAGCAGUGAGGAAUAUUGGUCAAUGGCCGGAAGGCUGAACCAGCCAAGUCGCGUGAGGGAAUAAGGCCCUAUGGGUCGUAAACCUCUUUUGUCAGGGAGCAAAGGCGUCCACGAGUGGACGAAAGGAGAGUACCUGAAGAAAAAGCAUCGGCUAACUCCGUGCCAGCAGCCGCGGUAAUACGGAGGAUGCGAGCGUUAUCCGGAUUUAUUGGGUUUAAAGGGUGCGUAGGCGGAGUGUCAAGUCAGCGGUAAAAUUUCGGGGCUCAACCCCGUCGUGCCGUUGAAACUGACACCCU